rnacentral:lncRNA from 1 species
ACCAUCGCUUCCUAAGUGGGGCACAAACACAGCCAGGGGAGGCCUCCUCUAAAUGUUCGUGAAUUCUGGUUCUGGAAUCGCGAAGAAAUGGGAGCGGCCGCGCGCUUGUGAUUCUCAGGCCUUUGCUCCUCCCAUACACGUCCACGGCGCGUUACGUGGGAGAACGUUUUCGCCCCUUUUUUUUUUUUUCCAAACUGUGGGAAAAGGUGCUAGAAAAUAUGAUUGCGGGUAGAGACAGGGCCGCUGGCAGAGUAACUCAAUUUUAAUAGAGUCGGGUGUAUGCUGAGGUCGUCACCAUCCCCCAAAUCCUGUCAGUCCCACACAAAAACGGCCCUUAAAUCCCCUGCCACGGGCUCUCAUAUAGUUUUUGUCCUUGCUCUUGCAGUCACCGCUCUAUUCUGAAGGGCUUUUCAGUUCAUCCAUGCCUACCGACACUCCCGUCCCCCCCAUCAAAGUCCACGUUUAAUUUUUUGUACCUGCUUUAAAACAGCGAUUCUCAACCUUGGCUGCACUUUGCAAUUAUCUGAGGAGCUGUUUUUUAAAAAAAUACUUAGAUAUAUGGGUUCCACCCCUGUAGAUUCAGAUUUAAUUGGUCUGGCUUGAGGUCUGGGCUUGGGGAAUUUUUGAACUUUCCUAAGGUGAUUCUAACAUGCCCUAACGUAGAGAUUCACUAUUAGAAGCAUUCGUUGCUGCGACCCCUUUCAAACAUCUUUUUGCAGUUUCAUCUCCUCUUGGUGUAAGAGAUGUUCAUGAUGUUCCCUAAGGUUAGAAUAUUCUUACUGUCAUCACUUGGGUAAUUCUUUAUCAUUGUUGAAAGCGGUUCAUCUGCUUCUGAAGGUGUAAGCUCACUUGUUCCCUCCCUUGGUGGUCCUAAAGCACAUUGAAACAGAAUAUCAUUGUGCUAGUUAUUAAAAUGCAUUGGGAUUAUUUAUACCCCUU